GUCUAUUUAGUUUAAAUAAUAAAAUAAAACAUUGAUUUGUGGAAUCAGAAAUUUUUUUUGAAAUUGGGCU
rnacentral:tRNA from 1 species